rnacentral:rRNA from 1 species
UACAGAGGUCUCAAGCGUUGUUCGGAUUCAUUGGGCGUAAAGGGUGCGUAGGCGGCGCGGUAAGUCGGGUGUGAAAUCUUGGAGCUUAACUCCGAAACUGCAUUCGAUACUGCCGUGCUUGAGGACUGGAGAGGAGACUGGAAUUUACGGUGUAGCGGUGAAAUGCGUAGAUAUCGGGAGGAACACCGGUGGCGAAGGCGGCGACCUGGGACAAUACUGACGCUGAGGUGCGAAAGCGUGGGGAGCAAACAGG